AUGGCCUCCGAGGCGGCGAAGGUGCCGGUGCCGCAGUCGGUGAACUUCAAGAGGAAGAGGGGAGAGCUCUGGGUCGCCACGAAGAAGAAGAAGGUCGCCGACGAGAAGAAGAAGGACGCGGAGAACACCAAGGACAAGGAGCUGGUGCAACUUAAGCGUGAGGCCCGGAUGAAGGGUGGGUUCUAUGUCAGUCCCGAGGCAAAGCUGUUGUUUGUCGUCCGUAUCCGUGGUAUCAAUGUUAUGCACCCAAAGACCAAGUAG
rnacentral:rRNA from 1 species